UUGAACGCUGGCGGCAGGCCUAACACAUGCAAGUCGAGCGGAUGAUGGGAGCUUGCUCCCGGAUUCAGCGGCGGACGGGUGAGUAAUGCCUAGGAAUCUGCCUGGUAGUGGGGGACAACGUUUCGAAAGGAACGCUAAUACCGCAUACGUCCUACGGGAGAAAGUGGGGGACCUUCGGGCCUCACGCUAUCAGAUGAGCCUAGGCCGGAUUAGCUAGUUGGUGAGGUAAAGGCUCACCAAGGCGACGAUCCGUAACUGGUCUGAGAGGAUGAUCAGUCACACUGGAACUGAGACACGGUCCAGACUCCUACGGGAGGCAGCAGUGGGGAAUAUUGGACAAUGGGCGAAAGCCUGAUCCAGCCAUGCCGCGUGUGUGAAGAAGGUCUUCGGAUUGUAAAGCACUUUAAGUUGGGAGGAAGGGCAGUAAGCGAAUACCUUGCUGUUUUGACGUUACCGACAGAAUAAGCACCGGCUAACUCU
rnacentral:rRNA from 1 species